rnacentral:rRNA from 1 species
CCUACGGGAGGCAGCAGUGAGGAAUAUUGGUCAAUGGGCGCGAGCCUGAACCAGCCAAGUAGCGUGAAGGAUGACUGCCCUACGGGUUGUAAACUUCUUUUAUAAAGGAAUAAAGUGAGGCACGUGUGCCUUUUUGUAUGUACUUUAUGAUUAAGGAUCGGCUAACUCAGUGGCAGCAGCCGCGGUAAUACGGAGGAUCCGAGCGUUAUCCGGAUUUAGUGGGUUUAAAGGGAGCGUAGAUGGGUUGUUAAGUCCGUUGUGAAAGUUUUCGGCUCAACCGUAAAAUUGCAAUUGAUACUGGCAGACUUGAGUACAGUUGAGGUAGGCGGAAUUCGUAGUGUAGCGGUGAAAUGCUUAGAUAUCACGAAGAACUCCGAUUGCGAAGGCAGCCUACUAAACUGCCACUGACAUUGAUGCUCGAAAGUGUGGGUAUCAAACAGGAUUAGAUACCCUUGUAGUC